ncrna:unclassified sequences skipping-rope RNA
UAUUAUUGAGGCCGUAAAUGGUUCCUGACACACUCCUCGGAGUACCUGAGAUGAUGGAUACACAGCCCAUCCAAUAAUA